rnacentral:misc_RNA from 1 species
GGCGAAUUCAGCUUCUCUCAGCUUCCAUCAUGGUGACCGCCAAGAAGACGAAGAAGACUCAUGAGAGCAUCAACAACAGACUCGCUCUCGUCAUGAAGAGUGGGAAAUAUACCUUGGGAUACAAAACCGUCCUCAAGACCUUGAGGAACUCUAAAGGUAAGCUGAUCAUCAUUGCCAACAACUGCCCUCCACUCCGAAAAUCCGAGAUCGAAUACUAUGCGAUGUUGGCGAAGGUUGGAGUUCACCAUUACAACGGAAGCAAUGUAGACCUCGGAACUGCUUGUGGCAAAUACUACAGAGUAUGCUGCCUCAGCAUUAUCGAUCCUGGUGAUUCGGAUAUUAUCAAGAGCAUGCCUGGAGAAAGUUAGGUUGCAGCUUCCUCUCAUCUCAGAUCAUAGAUUUUUGUUUCAGAGUUUCUUUUUUAAUCCACUUGAUUUUGGGUUGAACGUAAUGAUGUGUUUUGCUUGUGAGGCAUGAUAUUAUUGAACGA